rnacentral:rRNA from 1 species
AUACGUAGGGGCGAGCGUUGUCCGGAAUGAUUGGGCGUAAAGGGCGCGUAGGCGGCCCGGUAAGUCUGGAGUGAAAGUCCUGUUUUUAAGAUGGGAAUUGCUUUGGAUACUGUCGGGCUUGAGUGCAGGAGAGUUAAGUGGAAUUCCCAGUGUAGCGGUGAAAUGCGUAGAGAUUGGGAGGAACACCAGUGGCGAAGGCGACUUACUGGACUGUAACUGACGCUGAGGCGCGAAAGUGUGGGGAGCAAACAGGAUUAGACACCCUGGUAGUCCACACUGUAAACGAUGAAUGCUAGGUGUAGGGGGUAUCGACCCCUUCUGUGCCGCAGUCAACACAAUAAGCAUUCCGCCUGGGGAGUACGGCCGCAAGGUUGAAACUCAAAGGAAUUGACGGGG